ensembl:lncRNA
GCAACGUCUCCACACACAGAAUCACCUGACAUGCUUGUACUGGUGCAUUUGAUAUAGUACUGUGAUAAUAGAGUGGUAUAAUAGAGAUAAUAGAGUUAUAUAGUAGUGAUAAAAGACUGAUAUAGUAGUGAUGAUAGAGGGUUAUAGUAGUGAUAAUAGAGUGAUAUAGAGGUGAUAAUAGAGGGUUAUAGUAGUGAUAAUAGAGUGCUAUAUAUAGUGAUGUAGUAGGUGAUAUAGUGAUAAUUGACUGAUAUAGUAGUGAUAUAGCAGUGAUACUAGAGGGAUAUAGUGUGAUAUAGUAGUGAUAAUAGGGUGAUAUAGGAGUGGUAAUAGAGUGAAUUGUAGUGAUAUUGUAGUGAUAUAGUAGUGAUAACAGAGUAGUAUAGUAAGAGAGUGAUAUAGUACUGGUAUAGUAGCGAUAUAGUAGUAAUAAGAGAGCAUUACAGUAGUGAAAAUAGAGUGAUAUGGUAGUGAUAUUGUAGUGCUAAUAUUGUUGAUAUAGUACUGAUAAUAAAGUGAUAUAGUAGUGAUAUAGUAGUGAGAAAAUAGUGAUAAAGUAGGGAUAUAGUAGUGAUAAUAGAGUGCUAUAGCAGUGAUAUAGUAGUGACAAAAGAGUGACAUAGUAGUGAUAAUAAUGUAAACGGUACCGCUGUUGUCGAGGUCAGCUUCCACCAGGAGGACCAGGGAACACAGAAGGAGAAUCAUCCUGUAGACCACAGGAGGUCAGUCAUCUCCUCUUCAUCUCUGUCUCCCCUCCAUCAAUCUGUCUCUCCGUCAUCUCUUCGUCUCUCCUCCAUCAUCCCUAGUUCCCUCCAUCAGCCUGUCUCUCCUCAGUCUCUCCUCCAUCAAUCUGUCUCCCCUCCAUCCCGUUGUCUCUCCUCCAUCAUCCCUCGUUCCCUCCACCUCCCCUCCAUCAGCCUGUCUCUCCUCUGUCUCCCCUCCAUCUCCCUCUGUCUCUCCUCUGUCUCCUCUCCCUCUGUCUCUCCUCCCUCUGUCUCUCCUCUGUCUCUCUCCCCUCUGUCU